rnacentral:rRNA from 1 species
UACUCGAGUGGCGAACGGGUGAGUAACACGUGGGUGAUCUGCCCUGCACUUCGGGAUAAGCUCGGGAAACUGGGUCUAAUACCGGAUAGGAACCAUCUUUAGUGUGGUGGUUGGAAAGUUUUUCGGUGUAGGAUGAGCUCGCGGCCUAUCAGCUUGUUGGUGUGGUAAUGGCCUACCAAGGCGGCGACGGGUAGCCGGCCUGAGAGGGUGUACGGCCACAUUGGGACUGAGAUACGGCCCAG